GUGCUUGCUUCAGCAGGACAUAUACUAAAAUUGAUCAAUAUAGAGAAGAUUAGCAUGGGCCCUGUGCAAAGAUGACAUGAAAACUCAUGAAGCAUUCUAUUUUUUU